UUGCAGGCAAACAGCUUGAGGAUGAUCGCACCCUUGCUGACUACAACAUCCAGAAAGAGUCCACUCUCCACUUGGUGCUCCGACUCCGUGGUGGCAUGCAGAUUUUUGUCAAGACACUCACUGGAAAGACCAUCACAUUGGAGGUUGAGAGCUCGGAUACAAUUGACAAUGUCAAGUCUAAGAUACAAGACAAGGAAGGGAUUCCCCCAGACUAGCAGAGGUUGAUUUUUGCUGGA
rnacentral:misc_RNA from 1 species